rnacentral:rRNA from 1 species
GAUGAACGCUGGCGGCGUGCCUAAUACAUGCAAGUCGGGCGAACGGACGAGAAGCUUGCUUUUCUGAUGUUAGCGGCGGACGGGUGAGUAACACGUGGAUAACCUACCUAUAAGACUGGGAUAACUUCGGGAAACCGGAGCUAAUACCGGAUAAUAUUUUGAACCGCAUGGUUCAAAAGUGAAAGACGGUCUUGCUGUCACUUAUAGAUGGAUCCGCGCUGCAUUAGCUAGUUGGUAAGGUAACGGCUUACCAAGGCAACGAUGCAUAGCCGACCUGAGAGGGUGAUCGGCCACACUGGAACUGAGACACGGUCCAGACUCCUACGGGAGGCAGCAGUAGGGAAUCUUCCGCAAAGGGCGAAAGCCUGACGGAGCAACGCCGCGUGAGUGAUGAAGGUCUUCGGAUCGUAAAACUCUGUUAUUAGGGAAGAACAUAUGUGUAAGUAACUGUGCACAUCUUGACGGUACCUAAUCAGAAAGCCACGGCUAACUACGUG